rnacentral:rRNA from 1 species
UACGUAGGGUGCGAGCGUUGUCCGGAAUUAUUGGGCGUAAAGAGCUCGUAGGCGGUUUGUUGCGUCGGCCGUGAAAACUUGGGGCUUAACCCCGAGCCUGCGGUCGAUACGGGCAGACUUGAAUUCGGCAGGGGAGACUGGAAUUCCUGGUGUAGCGGUGAAAUGCGUAGAUAUCAAGUGGAACACCAGUGGCGAAGGCGAGUCUCUGGACAUUUCCUGACGCUGAGGCACGAAAGCCAGGGGAGCAAACGGG